rnacentral:rRNA from 1 species
UACGUAGGGGGCAAGCGUUGUCCGGAUUUAUUGGGCGUAAAAGAGCGUGUAGGCGGCUGGGUAGGUCCGUUGUGAAAACUCGAGCUCAACCUCGAGACGCCGAUGGAAACCCUCCAGCUAGAGUCCGGAAGAGGAGAGUGGAAUUCCUGGUGUAGCGGUGAAAUGCGCAGAUAUCAGGAAGAACACCGGUGGCGAAGGCGGGACUCUGGGCCGAUACUGACGCUGAGGAGCGAAAGCGUGGGGAGCGAACAGG